ensembl:snRNA U2 U2 spliceosomal RNA
AUUGCUUCUCGGCCUUUUGGUUAAGAUCAAGUGUAGUAUCUGUUCUUAUCAGUUUAAUAUCAGCUACGUCUAUCCGAGGACAAUAUAUUAAAUGGAUUUUUGGAGCAGGGAGAUGGAAUAGGCACUUGCUCCAUCUGCUCCACGCAUCAACCUGGUAUUGCAGUACUGUGCUUCCAGGAGCAGUGCACCCCCU